rnacentral:rRNA from 1 species
GUCUUCCAGCGGCGGACGGGUGAGUAAUGCUUAGGAAUCUGCCAUUUAGUGGGGGACAACAUUUCGAAAGGGAUGCUAAUACCGCAUACGUCCUACGGGAGAAAGCAGGGGAUCUUCGGACCUUGCGCUAAAUGAUGAGCCUAGUCGGAUUAGCUAGUUGGUGGGGUAAAGGCCUACCAAGGCGACGAUCUGUAGCGGGUCUGAGAGAAUGAUCCCCCACACUGGGACUGAGACACGGCCAGACUCCUACGGAAGGCAGCAGUGGGGAAUAUGGACAAUGGGCGAAAGCCUGAUCCAGCCAUGCCGCGUGUGUGAAGAAGGCCUUUUGGUUGUAAAGCACUUUAAGCGAGGAGGAGGCUACUUGAUUAAUACUUAGGUAUGGACGUUACUCGCAGAAUAAGCACCGGCUAACUCUGUGCCAGCAGCCGCGGUAAUACAGAGGGUGCGAGCGUUAAUCGGAUUUACUGGGCGUAAAGCGUGCGUAGGCGGCUGAUUAAGUCGGAUGUGAAAUCCCUGAGCUUAACUUAGGAAUUGCAUUCGAUACUGGUCAGCUAGAGUAUGGGAGAGGAUGGUAGAAUUCCAGUGUAGCGGUGAAAUGCGUAGAGAUCUGGAGGAAUACCGAUGGCGAAGGCAGCCAUCUGGCCUAAUACUGACGCUGAGGUACGAAAGCAUGGGGGAAACAGGAUUAGAUACCCUGGUAGUCCAUGCCGUAAACGAUGUCUACUAGCCGUUGGGGCCUUUGAGGCUUUAGUGGCGCAGCUAACGCGAUAAGUAGACCGCCUGGGGAGUACGGCGCAAGACUAAAACUCAAAUGAAUUGACGGGGGCCCGCACAACCGUGGAACAUGUGGUUUAAUUCGAUGCAACGCGNAANCCUUACCUGCCCUUAACAUAGUAAGAACUUUCCAAAAAUGGAUUGGUGCCUUCGGGAACUUACAUCAGGUGUGCAUGGCUUCCGUCAGCUCGUGUCGUAAAUGUGGGUUAAGUCCNGCAGAGCGCAACCCUUUUNCUUAUUNGCAAGCGAUAAUGUCCGUAACUUUAAAGAUACUGCCAGUGACAAACUGAAGAAAGCGGGGACGACGUCAAGUCAUCAUGGCCCUUACGGCAGGGCUACACACGUGCUACAAUGGUCGGUACAAAGGGUUGCUACCUAGCGAUAGGAUGCUAAUCUCAAAAAGCCGAUCGUAGUCCGGAUUGGAGUCUGCAACUCGACUCCAUGAAGUCGGAAUCGCUAGUAAUCGCGGAUCAGAAUGCCGCGGUGAAUACGUUCCCGGGCCUUGUACACACCGCCCGUCACACCAUGGGAGUUUGUUGCACCAGAAGUAG